rnacentral:lncRNA from 1 species
GGGCUCCCGGCCUGGGCCUCCUGGGUCUCCGGGACGCACUGCCCAACGGAAAAGUUUUCAGCCCAGUCUGUGCCUCGCCGCCAAGCAGCCCUUGGGGCUUCUCAAAGUGGUAGAGAAAAUAGGACAGCUCUACAGGAUGCCCCAAAGAAAACCCUCAUUUGUCGACCAGGCGACCUUAGUGCUGGCGUGGGACUACAGCUGCGCAGCCAGCAAACCCCAGUUGGGGGAGGGGGAGAAGUGGCAGUAGAGUUCGCAUCUGGGGCUUGCUCUAAAGCGCUCUUUGACUGCUUUUGGAUUCCAUAUUUGAAGUUGAGAGUCGUAUUCCACCUGGUACAGGCAGUUCAGGGCAGGAGAAAAGCCAAGUGAACUCUGUGACUCAAUCCCCUUGGAAUGUGCCUGGAAUAAUAAUAGGGACUUGAAAGGGUUUUAUGGCCGAGGUGGCUAGUGGAGAGCAGUCUCCUACGCCUUGCAGUUGGCGGUCGGCCGAGGGGGGCAGUAUUGCCUUAUGCAGAGCUUCUGCGCCUGCAAACGGGACAAAAAUAGUCGGAGCAUCUGGUUUAAAUCAACCAAAAAGCAUUUCUAUCAGCUUAAUCCACCGGCCUACAGAACUGACAGAACAGGACAAGCCAAAUAUAUUCCCGGUACUCUUUUAACACUCCAAUAAUAGCUAAGCCCAAUCACACUUUACCGCUGGGAUUUCUGUGUCCUACCAUACAACUGUCGUUAUUUUAUAGAUGUUGCAAAUUAAACUUCCUUUUCUGGAGUUGUGUGUGGGCAUGUGCUUAAGCAGUUACAUUUGCAAGCAACGCUCGACUACGCUGCCCUUUUCGUUUUCCUUUUUCUUUCUCUCUUUUGGUAUGAGGUCUUAGAAUAGUCAAAAGUAUCUAAGGCCAACAUAUGGGUUGCUUACACCACUAAAUAUAUAGCUGCAUUUCCCUCUCUUAACGCCCUAAUCAGGAUUCCAAAGGCAAGUUGGAACAAAAGAAAAAACGUGUCUGAGUGUAAAGGGAGAAUUUGUGCCAAGAAUUACAGUCGCAGGGUAAAUAACCUUGUUUUCUCCUUCAUCAGUGGCCGCUACCAAGUCCCGUUCUUGGAAAGUGGCCAACAGUCUGUCUGGUGGAGGGUGCUGCUAAUUAGAGAGAGCCCAUAAACCUC